AGAGUUUGAUCCUGGCUCACGAUGAACGCUGGCGGCGUGCUUAACACAUGCAAGUCGAACGAACCUUCGGGUUAGUGGCGGACGGGUGAGUAACGCGUGAGAAUCUGCCCUCAGGAGGGGGAUAACGGCUGGAAACGGCCGCUAAUACCCCAUAUGCCGAGAGGUGAAAUGAAUUUCGCCUGAGGAUGAGCUCGCGUCUGAUUAGCUAGUUGGUGGGGUAAGAGCCUACCAAGGCUUCGAUCAGUAGCUGGUCUGAGAGGAUGAUCAGCCACACUGGGACUGAGACACGGCCCAGACUCCUACGGGAGGCAGCAGUGGGGAAUUUUCCGCAAUGGGCGAAAGCCUGACGGAGCAACGCCGCGUGAGGGAUGAAGGCCUCUGGGCUGUAAACCUCUUUUCUCAAGGAAGAAGAUCUGACGGUACUUGAGGAAUAAGCCACGGCUAAUUCCGUGCCAGCAGCCGCGGUAAUACGGGAGUGGCAAGCGUUAUCCGGAAUUAUUGGGCGUAAAGCGUCCGCAGGCGGCCUUGAAAGUCUGCUGUUAAAGCGUGGAGCUUAACACCAUUUCAGCAGUGGAAACUACAAGGCUAGAGUGUGGUAGGGGCAGAGGGAAUUCCCGGUGUAGCGGUGAAAUGCGUAGAUAUCGGGAAGAACACCAGUGGCGAAGGCGCUCUGCUGGGCCAUAACUGACGCUCAUGGACGAAAGCCAGGGGAGCGAAAGGGAUUAGAUACCCCUGUAGUCCUGGCCGUAAACGAUGAACACUAGGUGUCGGGGGAAUCGACCCCUCCGGUGUCGUAGCCAACGCGUUAAGUGUUCCGCCUGGGGAGUACGCACGCAAGUGUGAAACUCAAAGGAAUUGACGGGGGCCCGCACAAGCGGUGGAGUAUGUGGUUUAAUUCGAUGCAACGCGAAGAACCUUACCAGGGUUUGACAUCCUGCGAAUCCCUUGGAAACGAGGGAGUGCCUUCGGGAGCGCAGUGACAGGUGGUGCAUGGCUGUCGUCAGCUCGUGUCGUGAGAUGUUGGGUUAAGUCCCGCAACGAGCGCAACCCACGUCUUUAGUUGCCAGCAUUGAGUUGGGCACUCUAGAGAGACCGCCGGUGAUAAACCGGAGGAAGGUGUGGAUGACGUCAAGUCAUCAUGCCCCUUACAUCCUGGGCUACACACGUACUACAAUGCUACGGACAAAGGGCAGCAAACUCGCGAGAGCUAGCAAAUCCCAUAAACCGUGGCUCAGUUCAGAUCGUAGGCUGCAACUCGCCUACGUGAAGGAGGAAUCGCUAGUAAUCGCAGGUCAGCAUACUGCGGUGAAUACGUUCCCGGGCCUUGUACACACCGCCCGUCACACCAUGGAAGUUGGCCACGCCCGAAGUCGUUACUCCAACCCGCAAGGGAGGAGGAUGCCGAAGGUGGGGCUGAUGACUGGGGUGAAGUCGUAACAAGGUA
rnacentral:rRNA from 1 species